rnacentral:rRNA from 1 species
GAUUCCUACGGGAGGCAGCAGUGGGGAAUUUUCCGCAAUGGGCGAAAGCCUGACGGAGCAACGCCGCGUGAGGGAUGAAGGCCUCUGGGCUGUAAACCUCUUUUAUCAAGGAAGAAGAUCUGACGGUACUUGAUGAAUAAGCCACGGCUAAUUCCGUGCCAGCAGCCGCGGUAAUACGGGAGUGGCAAGCGUUAUCCGGAAUUAUUGGGCGUAAAGCGUCCGCAGGCGGUCUGUCAAGUCUGCUGUUAAAGCGUGGAGCUUAACUCCAUUUCGGCAGUGGAAACUGACAGACUAGAGUGUGGUAGGGGCAGAGGGAAUUCCCGGUGUAGCGGUGAAAUGCGUAGAUAUCGGGAAGAACACCAGUGGCGAAGGCGCUCUGCUGGGCCAUAACUGACGCUCAUGGACGAAAGCCAGGAGAGCGAAAGGGAUUAGAUACCCCUGUAGUCCUGGCCGUAAACGAUGAACACUAGGUGUCGGGGGAAUCGACCCCCUCGGUGUCGUAGCCAACGCGUUAAGUGUUCCGCCUGGGGAGUACGCACGCAAGUGUGAAACUCAAAGAAAUUGACGGAAUCUC